rnacentral:tRNA from 1 species
GCAGUCGUGGCCGAGUGGUUAAGGUGAUGGACUAGAAAUCCAUUGGGGUCUCCCCGCACAGGUUCGAAUCCUGUCGACUUCG